rnacentral:rRNA from 1 species
GAGGAAUAUUGGUCAAUGGACGCAAGUCUGAACCAGCCACGUCGCGUGAAGGAAGACGGCCCUACGGGUUGUAAACUUCUUUUAUACGGGAAUAAAGUGCCCCACGCGUGGGGUUUUGCAAGUACCGUACGAAUAAGGAUCGGCUAACUCCGUGCCAGCAGCCGCGGUAAUACGGAGGAUCCGAGCGUUAUCCGGAUUUAUUGGGUUUAAAGGGUGCUCAGGCGGGGGAUUAAGUCGGCGGUGAAAUUUUGCAGCUCAACUGUAAAAGUGCCUUCGAAACUGGUUUCCUUGAGUGCGGAUGAGGUAGGCGGAAUUCCAGGUGUAGGAGUGAAAUCCGUAGAUAUCUGGAGGAACAUCAGUGGCGAAGGCGGCCACCUGGACCGAUACUGACGCUGAGGUGCGAAAGCGUGGGGAGCAAACA